CAGCCACAAAGGGCCAGACAUGUAAGCUGAGGCUGUUGGUAGAGCUCAGGGAAGAGCAACCCAAGGUGAAGACACAAGGUGUGUACAAUUCUGGGCAUACCUCAACAACGGAAAGACUAGUGAAGCUGGCCCAGGAAUGGGGAACCGAACUGGCAGAUACAAGAUCAGUGAUGUCUUCUGGCUUUCAAGUUUUAAAACCUGUAUGCCCUUGAUCCUACUCCUUCCUCCACUAUUCACCUCCUUGGAAAUCUGAGAGACAUUCAUGUCCCAGGAGUGACCAGCUUGAAGAGAGCUGAAACCCAGCCCCAUUGCACAGCUGGCUCCCAAGGAUCUAUCUUGGGUAAGUAGUCUCCAAUUAUCCCAGUACCUUAGGGAGCUCAUUUUGGAUUUUGUAGGACAGGUGACAGUGUCAUUCACACAAGGGCUGGUUUAGGUCAUACUUUCCAUAUAAGCAACUGAGCAGCACUCUGAUCUCUUCUUCCCUCCCAAAUCUUCUCCAUUUAGCAUUUUUCUAUGAUACAAACACUGGCUCAAUUUUACACAUUUAUGACACUGGUAAGGAAAUUUG
rnacentral:lncRNA from 1 species